rnacentral:rRNA from 1 species
AUUGAACGUUGGCGGCAGGCCUAAAACAUGCAAGUCGAACGGUAACAGCGGGAGCUUGCUCCCGGCUGACGAGUGGCGGACGGGUGAGUAACACGUAGGAAUCUACCUAACAGUGGGGGACAACCCGGGGAAACCCGGGCUAAUACCGCAUACGCUCUACGGAGGAAAGCGGGGGAUCUUCGGACCUCGCGCUGCUUGAGGAGCCUGCGUCGGAUUAGCUAGUUGGUGGGGUAAAGGCCUACCAAGGCGACGAUCCGUAGCUGGUCUGAGAGGACGAUCAGCCACACUGGAACUGAGACACGGUCCAGACUCCUACGGGAGGCAGCAGUUAGGAAUCUUGGGCAAUGGGCGAAAGCCUGACCCAGCCAUGCCGCGUGUGUGAAGAAGGCCUUCGGGUUGUAAAGCACUUUCAGCGGUGAAGAAAAGCUUGGGGUUAAUAUCCCCUGAGUCUUGACGUUAGCCGCAGAAGAAGCACCGGCUAACUCCGUGCCAGCCGCCGCAGUAA